rnacentral:rRNA from 1 species
GUCCGAGUUGUAAUCUGUAGAAGCGUAUUCCGCGUCGUGCCCCUGCCCAAGUCCGUUGGAAUUCGGCGCCAUGGAGGGUGAGAGCCCCGUUGGUGGCAGGGAGAACCGGUGCUUUGCGUUGCGUUUUCUAAGAGUCGUGUUGUUUGGGAAUGCAGCACUAAUGGGUGGUAAAUUCCAUCUAAAGCUAAAUAUCAGCGAGAGACCGAUAGCGAACAAGUACCGUGAGGGAAAGAUGAAAAGCACUUUGGAAAGAGAGUUAAACAGUACGUGAAAUUGUUGAAAGGGAAACGAUUGAAAUCAGUCAUGCCUCUGGGGAUUCAGCCUUCGGGUGUACUUUUCCUUUGGCAGGUCAGCGUCGGUUUCGAGGGCCGGAUAAUGGGUCGGGGAAUGUGGCUCGGCUUCGGUCGGGUGUUAUAGCCCCUUCCUGGAUACGGCUUUUGGGAUCGAGGACCGCGGCGCGCCCUCACGGGCAGGGGGUCCGCCCCUUUCCGCGCCAAGGAUGCUGGCGUAAUGGUUUUAAACGACCCGUCUUGAAACACGGACCCAAAGGAGUCUAACAUGCCUGCCGAGUGUUUUGGGUGUC